GAUGAACGCUGGCGGCGUGCCUAAUACAUGCAAGUCGAGCGAACAGACGAGGAGCUUGCUCCUUUGACGUUAGCGGCGGACGGGUGAGUAACACGUGGAUAACCUACCUAUAAGACUGGGAUAACUUCGGGAAACCGGAGCUAAUACCGGAUAACAUGUUGAACCGCAUGGUUCAACAGUGAAAGACGCUCUUGCUGUCACUUAUAGAUGGUUCCGCGCCGCAUUAGCUAGUUGGUAAGGUAACGGCUUACCAAGGCAACGAUGCGUAGCCGACCUGAGAGGGUGAUCGGCCACACUGGAACUGAGACACGGUCCAGACUCCUACGGGAGGCAGCAGUAGGGAAUCUUCCGCAAUGGGCGAAAGCCUGACGGAGCAACGCCGCGUGAGUGAAGAAGGUCUUCGGAUCGUAAAACUCUGUUAUUAGGGAAGAACAAAUGUGUAAGUAACUAUGCACGUCUUGACGGUACCUAAUCAGAAAGCCACGGCUAACUACGUG
rnacentral:rRNA from 1 species